AGAACGAACGCUGGCGGCAGGCUUAACACAUGCAAGUCGAGCGCCCCGCAAGGGGAGCGGCAGACGGGUGAGUAACGCGUGGGAACAUACCCUCCGGUUCGGAAUAGCUCAGGGAAACUUGGAUUAAUACCGGAUACGGCUUAGCGGCGAAAGAUUUAUCGCCGGAGGAUUGGCCCGCGUUCGAUUAGCUAGUUGGUGAGGUAACGGCUCACCAAGGCGACGAUCGAUAGCUGGUCUGAGAGGAUGAUCAGCCACAUUGGGACUGAGACACGGCCCAAACUCCUACGGGAGGCAGCAGUGGGGAAUAUUGGACAAUGGGCGCAAGCCUGAUCCAGCCAUGCCGCGUGAGUGAUGACGGCCUUAGGGUUGUAAAGCUCUUUCGCUAGGGACGAUAAUGACGGUACCUAGACAAGAAGCCCCGGCUAACUUCGCGCCAGCAGCCGC
rnacentral:rRNA from 1 species